rnacentral:lncRNA from 1 species
ACUAACACAGCCAGGGAGGACUGGGGAAGGAUUCCAGCUGCCUGAGCUAAGCCAGGAAGGGAAAAUUGGAGUUAGCAAGGCAAGGAAGGUCAUUCCAGGCAGUGGAAACAGAAUGAGCAAAGGCAAGAGAAAAGGCUAUUUGCUUUUGAGCUACUCCGGGAGAGGAGCAGAGUCGGUUUGAGUUGCAUGACUGACAUCUUCUGGCUACAGUGGAUAUUACAGAAAGACUGAAACUCCGCAAAAGUGUGUUUGAAAAAAAGAAAAGCAC